rnacentral:piRNA from 1 species
UGCUUCUUCCCACCUGACAUAGCAGCA